GAUCGAGGGCCCUCCCCUGGCUUCCGUGUCCCUGUGGCAGGCGGUGGUGGUCGAAAUCUCUGCCCCUCAGAGUCCUGGGGAGGAUGGAUGGAACAGGAGGAGCAUCAUGAGAAGGCUUCCUGUAAACUACGGAGGGUGAGGGGACGGAGCGUGAGGGAACGUCGUGAGAUGGCGACCUGGCUCUUGUUUGGGCCUAAGGAAAAGCCGACUGUAAGCCGGGAAGCAUCUCUGGCAAGAACAAGGAAGGAUUAAGCACGUCUGUGGUUGUGCGCAGGGAUCACAAGGUGCUCCUGCAGUGGGAAGAGCCACCACUAGGGGCGCUCCAAGUCUUGUAUUUUCUACCUUGAAAACUCGUUUCCCUGUGGCUGCCCUCCAAAUCCAACGGAGAUGAAUGGCUUUUAGUUUACCUAGCUGAUUUAAUAAACUUUAAAAAUAAAUGUA
rnacentral:lncRNA from 1 species